rnacentral:rRNA from 1 species
GGGCCAGACUCCUACGGGAGGCAGCAGUGGGGGAUAUUGCACAAUGGGGGAAACCCUGAUGCAGCGACGCCGCGUGUGGGAAGACGGUCCUCUGGAUUGUAAACCACUGUCCCCAGGGACGAAGAUGACGGUACCUGGGGAGGAAGCUCCGGCUAACUACGUGCCAGCAGCCGCGGUAAUACGUAGGGAGCAAGCGUUGUCCGGAAUCACUGGGCGUAAAGGGCGCGUAGGCGGUAAUAUAAGUCAGAUGUGAAAGGUGGGGGCUCAACCCCUAGAGUGCAACUGAUACUGUAUAACUUGAGUGUGAGAGAGGGAAGCGGAAUUCCUAGUGUAGCGGUGAAAUGCGUAGAUAUUAGGAGGAACACCAGUGGCGAAGGCGGCUUUCUGGCUCAUAACUGACGCUGAGGCGCGAAAGCGUGGGGAGCAAACAGGAUUAGAUACCCCUGUA